rnacentral:rRNA from 1 species
CGAUGGGCCGACGUCGCAUGCUCCCGGCCGCCAUGGUUAGAGUUUGAUCAUGGCUCAGAUUGAACGCUGGCGGAAUGCUUUACACAUGCAAGUCGAACGGCAGCACGGGGGCACCCUGGUGGCGAGUGGCGAACGGGUGAGUAAUGUAUCGGAACGUACCCCGUCGUGGGGGAUAACUCUCCGAAAGGAGAGCUAAUACCGCAUACGACCUGAGGGUGAAAGCGGGGGACCUGCGAGGGCCUCGCGCGAUGGGAGCGGCCGAUAUCGGAUUAGCUAGUUGGUGAGGUAAAGGCUCACCAAGGCGACGAUCCGUAGCGGGUCUGAGAGGACGACCCGCCACACUGGAACUGAGACACGGUCCAGACUCCUACGGGAGGCAGCAGUGGGGAAUUUUGGACAAUGGGGGAAACCCUGAUCCAGCCAUUCCGCGUGAGUGAAGAAGGCCUUCGGGUUGUAAAGCUCUUUCAGCAGGAACGAAACGGUAGGCUUUAAUACAGUUUGCUAAUGACGGUACCUGCAGAAGAAGCACCGGCUAACUACGUGCCAGCAGCCGCGGUAAUACGUAGGGUGCGAGCGUUAAUCGGAAUUACUGGGCGUAAAGCGUGCGCAGGCGGCGACAUAAGACAGAUGUGAAAUCCCCGGGCUCAACCUGGGAACUGCGUUUGUGACUGUGUUGCUAGAGUGUACAGAGGGGGGUGGGAAUUCCACGUGUAGCAAUGAAAUGCGUAAAGAUGUGGAGGAACACCGAUGGCGAAGGCAGCCCCCUGGGGUUACACUGACGCUCAU